rnacentral:lncRNA from 1 species
UACAAGAAAUUACCGACAAACAUAAUCAAUUUAACUUUCAGACAAAUUAGCGAGAAAAGUUCUAGCGAGAGAAUUCCAAUGACUCUCCCUCCACUGUUUCGAGGCCUUAUCAAGAAUAAAUCCAUCCUCGGAAAAUUAAUUGUACCGAGAAACUACCAAGAAAACUAUCGAGAAUCUUUCGACAAAUCAUGUUUGUCAGGAGACAGAUCCGGUUUGUCAGAAGAAAAAAUAUUCCCGACAUUAUACAGACAAGAUACUCCGAGAAAACACUGAGAAAAAUGAAUCAUCGGAAAGUUCCAAGAAUAUUCUGAAAG